GGGCAAUUUUCGGAAAUGUAGACCGUAAAGGUGCAUGAGUGGUGUUUGGUUUGUUACGGGUGGUUGGCUCUUUGCUUGCGCAACAACUUCCACCUGGCUUACCUCUUCAUUUGCUGGUUAAGGUUUUCUAGCCUUAUUGAGUUGCGGGUUUCCUGUGUUGUCUACCGAAUUGAUGGAAUUGUGUUUGGCUGAUCGAUGUUGCUUUUUGUCUUGCCAUAAAUGUGGCGUAAGAUGAACGAGACUGCUUGCUCUUUGAACCACAUUGUUUAUGUGUGUGCAUGAUGUUGUGGCUUAUUGAGCAUUGCUUGGUAUCAUGAAUAUAGAACUUGUGUGGGCAUUGGGUCUUAAGGAUCCAUGUAUUGCUCUCAUUGAGUUGUUAUGCUUCUAAAAAUGACAUCUUGCUAUGUAAGGGCUUGUACCGACAUGCGAGUUUGUCAAUGAGGAAUGCUACCUGG
rnacentral:misc_RNA from 1 species